rnacentral:lncRNA from 1 species
GCCUAUGAUUAUUGACCCAGAAAUUAAGUCUCAAGAACGAUGUACAAUGCCUAGGGCACAGAUUAGAGAUCAUACAGAUGCGACAACCAAUGCUAAAGCAGUGGAAAUCGGAUGACUCAUCAUUUUGAUGUCAUCGACUGCAGCGCACCUAGUGGUUGACAGCGUCACAGAGAAUCAAGGAGUGAUUUAUUAUAGGAAAGUUAGUUGUUUUUUUUUAUUAAUUAAAUCAUUAUGCAACCAAGAAAGAAAAGCAGAUGUGGAGACUGGUGUUCUGGACCCAACUGUUCAAACUCCAGAAACAAAAAUCCGACUUUGGCAUUUUAUAAAUUUCCUAAAGGUUUGGAUAGGUUGGUUUUUAAAAGUUAUCUAAAAAUAAAAUGAUCUAAAUUG